UCCAGCCAAAAGGACACUUAGUUUUACUUCUUGUUACUUAUGCAAAACUAGGCCAUUUAAAGUCUCAGGAAAUUACAAGGUGACAGUUUGGCAGAAAGUGACAGAGCAUGGACUUUGAAAGCAGUUCUAGAAGCCGGAGACACAGGAAUCAUUCAGGGGGUUGAGUCAAGAUGGCGGCCUAGAAGCAGCUCCCGCGCGCUGCUCUCACAGGGAGGAGACAAAGGGCUGGUGAACUCUGACCCUACAAGCCGAGGUCUGAGAAACCAUGUCGGACUCCAUCAAGGCAGCAAGCCGACACAGAGAGCAGAGAGGAGUGCAGCUGGGCAGCAGCCUGUCUGGGAUAAACGCGGAGCCAGGAGAAGCUCCCCAACACAGGAAAGGCUUCCAUCAACCAGGAGUCUGUCUAUGCUUCACCUGGUUCCUCUGCUCAGGGUGUCCAAAGGCUGUGGUCAAGAUAUAAGUGACUGAUUCUGCUUGACAUCAGGGGAGAAGACUUUACAAAGGUGUGGCUCAUUAGGGUUUAUCCACCACAAAAUGUGCCUUUAUAAAAAUGAUUUGUGUAGGAUAUGUGCAAA